rnacentral:rRNA from 1 species
CCUACGGGAGGCAGUAGUGAGGAAUAUUGGUCAAUGGACGGAAGUCUGAACCAGCCAUGCCGCGUGCAGGAAGACGGCUCUAUGAGUUGUAAACUGCUUUUGUACAAGGGUAAACCUGAAUACGUGUAUUCAGCUGAAAGUACUGUACGAAUAAGGAUCGACUAACUCCGUGCCAGCAGCCGCGGUAAUACGGAGGAUCCAAGCGUUAUCCGGAUUUAUUGGGUUUAAAGGGUGCGUAGGCGGAUUGAUAAGUUAGAGGUGAAAUGUCCGAGCUUAACCCGGGAACUGCCUCUAAUACUGUUGGUCUAGAGAGUGGGUGCGGGAGGCGGAAUGUAUGGUGGAGCGGUGAAAUGCUUAGAGAUCAUACAGAACACCGAUUGCGAAGGCAGCUUACCAAUCUAUAUCUGACGUUGAGGCACGAAAGCGUGGGGAGCAAACAGGAUUAGAUACCCUAGUAGUC